GUUCCAGAGUGAGAAGGGAGCUAAAGGAAAAGAGGAGGGCAAGAGGACUGAGAGGAUGGGGAGGGGCCAGGGUAGGGCUGCAUAGAGUACUGUUCUCUCCUUAGGUCCAAUGCUCUGCUCCCGACCACCACUCUGGAGGUCGUCCAUAGCAUGCCAAGGUCACAGUGUGAUAUGUAGGAGCUGUGGCUUCCACUGCCCUGUCAUUUUCAUUCUUGGGUUUGGCAGCUCUCAACUCUGUGAGCAGCUCUUGGCUCAUCCCAUCAUGGGGAUUCGGCAUUCAGAGUCUCCCAGAGGCCCCGGGAGACAGCAACGUGGAGGCUGCAGGCACCAAAAGGAGUUUUCCUGGCACAGAAUUCUGGCAGAAGAAAACUGAAGUGAUUUCCGACUCGAGGCCCGGGGAGGAGCCACCUGGGGCACUGAAAUCCAGGCUCAGCUCUUUCUGUAUAAAUUAAGGAUUUAAAGAAAUUCUCCCCAACCAGACGCAGUGGAAGACAACUGCGGCCUCUGCUGGUUUCAAUAGAAACUCGAGUUCAACGAAUUGCAAUGUGCUGAAAUUGCUCAGACCGAAGACCAAGCCAAGAAGGGCUAGCUCGCGCUUAAAUUCCUUUAAAUUCCUUUCAUCCGGUGCAGAAGAGGAUGCCGCGGGGGUGCGAGCAGCAAGGACGCGGUUCGCAGCCUUGCCAACCCCAGCUCACCCUACCAACCCUACCAACCCCAGCUCACCGGAGGACAGGGAGGGACCCGCGAGUCCUGAGCGAGGAAGGUGGCCAAGGAUGGCAUGCCCUAUUGCGGUGUCGGGGAAGCUAUGCAGUAGACUCGUGUCUCUGAGCCGAGAGCUGGGACACAUCUGCGGCUUGCAAUGGCCUAGUGUAGGAGGGUUGCCGGGACCUUUCCCUCCUGUGCAAGGUCAGGGGUGUGAACGGGAAAGAAAAUGGAUCCUACUGUGGACUAAAGAGAAAGGUCCCACCGAGAUUUGAACUCGGAUCGCUGGAUUCAGAGUCCAGAGUGCUCACCAUUACACCAUGGAACCACACAAUUGGUAGCACUCUGACUCACUAUAGGUGACCAAAUCCAUUCUCAGCCCCAAUCAUAUCCCACAGUUUCUUCCGCAGGCACUUUUCCUAUAGUCAGGUAGGAUCAGAGCACCCUCAAUUCACAACCAGGAGAAUCGCCCGCGCUCAACGUUCGUUCUGUUCAGUACUUGGCGUGAGGAGUACAGUGGGAGAGAGACAUGUCUCUCAGAGAAUGAGAAAGUGGAUUUAACACUUUAGAAUCCGGGAAGUGAACGCCGGCUCUUCCUAGAUUGCUGGUGUCUUGUUCUAACAUACAAUCCUUCCCCGCCCCUCCCCCGCCCCCGGAAAAAGGUUUCCUUA
rnacentral:tRNA from 1 species